rnacentral:rRNA from 1 species
AUUAAACGCUGGCGGCAGGCCUAACACUGCAAGUCGAGCGGUGAAGGGAGCUUGCUCCUGGAUUAAGCGGCGGACGGUUGAGUAAUGCCUAGGAAUCUGCCUGGUAGUGGGGGAUAACGUCCGGAAACGGGCGCUAAUACCGCUACGUCCUGAGGGAGAAAGUGGGGGAUCUUCGGACCUCACGCUAUCAGAUGAGCCUAGGUCGGAUUAGCUAGUUGGUGGGGUAAAGGCCUACCAAGGCGACGAUCCGUAACUGGUCUGAGAGGAUGAUCAGUCACACUGGAACUGAGACACGGUCCAGACUCCUACGGGAGGCAGCAGUGGGGAAUAUUGGACAAUGGGCGAAAGCCUGAUCCAGCCAUGCCGCGUGUGUGAAGAAGGUCUUCGGAUUGUAAAGCACUUUAAGUUGGGAGGAAGGGCAGUAAGUUAAUACCUUGCUGUUUUGACGUUACCAACAGAAUAAGCACCGGCAA